rnacentral:rRNA from 1 species
CCUUUGGGGCGGUUUCACAGGUGGUGCAUGGUUGUCGUCAGCUCGUGUCGUGAGAUGUUGGGUUAGGUCCCGCAACGAGCGCAACCCCUGUUCUAUGUUGCCAGCACGUGAUGGUGGGGACUCAUGGGAGACUGCCGGGGUCAAUUCGGAGGAAGGUUGGGACGACGUCAAAUCAUCAUGCCCCUUAUGUCUUGGGCUUCACGCAUGCUACAAUGGCCGGUACAAUUGGUUGCGAUACUGUGAGGUGGAGCUAAUCCCAAAAAGCCGGUCUCAGUUCGGAUUGGGGUCUGCAACUCGACCCCAUGAAGUUGGAGUCGCUAGUAAUCGCAGAUCAGCAACGCUGC